AUAUUGUAUGAUGGGGGAAACCCUGCUGCAGCGACGCCGCGUGAGUGAAGAAGUAUUUCGGUGUGUAAAGCUCUAUCAGCUGGGAAGAAAAUGACGGUACCUGACUAAGAAGCCCCGGCUCACUACGUGCCCGCAGCCGCGGUAAUACGUAGGGGGCAAGCGUUAUCCGGAUUUACUGGGUGUAAAGGGAGCGUAGGUGGUUUGGUAAGUCAGAUGUGAAAGCCCGGGGCUCAACCCCGGGACUGCAUUUGAAACUACCAAACUAGAGUGCAGGAGAGGUAAGUGGAAUUCCUAGUGUAGCGGUGAAAUGCGUAGAUAUUAGGAGGAACACCAGUGGCGAAGGCGGCUUACUGGACUGUAACUGACACUGAGGCUCGAAAGCGUGGGGAGCAAAC
rnacentral:rRNA from 1 species